rnacentral:rRNA from 1 species
GAUGAACGCUGGCGGCGUGCCUUACACAUGCAAGUCGAGCGAACGCACGAGAAGUUUGCUCUUGUGACGUUUGCCGCGGAGGGGUGAGUAACAUGUGGACAACCCAUGUAUAAGAGUGGGACAACGCCGGGAAAGCAGUGAUACUACAGGCGAAUUACGUGUGACGCAUGGUUCAAUAGUGAAAGACGGUUUUGCUGUUACCCAUAGGCUGAUCAGCUAGUUGGUAGGGUAACGGCAUACCAAGGCGACGAUCAGUAGCCGAUCUGAGAGGAAGAUCAGCCACACUGGAACUGAGACACGGCCCAGACUCCUACGGGAGGCAGCAGUAGGGAAUCUUGGACAAUGGGCGAAAGCCUGACCCAGCAACGCCGCGUGUGUGAUGAAGGUCUUCGGGUCGUAAAGCACUGUUGUCAGGAAAGAAAACCUUUGUAAUUAUCUGGUCACGUCAUGACGGUACCUGAAGAAUAAGCACCGGCUAACUACGUG